UACGUAGGGACCAAGCGUUGUUCGGAUUUACUGGGCGUAAAGGGCGCGUAGGCGGCGCGGUAAGUCACUUGUGAAAUCUCUGAGCUUAACUCAGAACGGCCAAGUGAUACUGCAGUGCUAGAGUGUGGAAGGGGCAAUCGGAAUUCUUGGUGUAGCGGUGAAAUGCGUAGAUAUCAAGAGGAACACCUGAGGUGAAGACGGGUUGCUGGGCCAACACUGACGCUGAUGCGCGAAAGCCGGGGAGCAAACGGG
rnacentral:rRNA from 1 species